rnacentral:misc_RNA from 1 species
GAUGAAGAACGCAGCGAAAUGCGAUAAGUAAUGCGAAUUGCAGAAUUCCGUGAGUCAUCGAAUCUUUGAACGCACAUUGCGCCCCCUGGCAUUCCGGGGGGCAUGCCUGUCCGAGCGUCAUUUCUGCCCUCAAGCACGGCUUGUGUGUUGGGUGUGGUCCCCCCGGGGACCUGCCCGAAAGGCAGCGGCGACGUCCGUCUGGUCCUCGAGCGUAUGGGGCUCCGUCACUCGCUCGGGAAGGACCUGCGGAGGUUGGUCACCACCAUAUUUUACCACGGUUGACCUCGGAUCAGGUAGGAGUUACCCGCUGAACUUAAGCAUAUCAAUAAGCGGAGGA